AUGCCGGGCAUGCCGGCCGACAGCGGGGGCGCCAUCGUCCCUUUCUCGGGGGAGCCAAAGCACGCGGCGUCGGCACUGCCUGUGCGGCCCAUCCGCCACGGCGUGCCGCCGCCCAUCUCCCGCGUCUACAUCUCCUGGUCAAGCGGCAACCUCCUGCAGGUCGCCUGCCUCCGACCUCCUAGUCCGGAGGAAGGCGCCGGCCGCGGCGCGGAGGAGGUCGCCGGGAGAGUGGUGGAAGUGAACCUCGGCGUCGGCGCUGGCAAUGGCAGCGCGGAGGUCGAGGAGGAGGUCGAUGAGGCGGAGAUGCGGCGGAUCGAGUACGGUUCGGUACCGGCCUUCGCGCUGCUGCAGAGCAGGAAGAACGCCCUCGCAGAUGCUGCUGCUAUGCAGCACAUGCACUCAGUCUCAGAGCACGCAGAAUGGUGGCAAUAUGUGCUCGAAUACAGCAAAACCAUCGGUAAUCUUCUUGGCAACCAAGAUUCUCUUCCUGCUCUCAUGAUUGAAGAUCCGAGGGCAAUUCUUAAGGUUAGAGAGAAGCCUACUAGUUUAAAGGCUGCCUGGGAAUUGUUAGAAAUAUUCUAUGUUGACAAAGAGUUACACAGCUGGCUUCCGGAGCGACUCGUUGAUUGGUUAGCCGAUUACGACAGCCUCUUGACCAAGACGGAUGGCACGGUGUAUUUCAAGCUCAACAAUUUCCAGAAAAAGCUAAUCAACCUGCAGAUUGUUGAAAAUGAUGAUGAUUACUGGAAUGGAUUAUCGGCAGCACUGUCAGUUGGAUGGCUUGAUGUUGUGGUGAAUAUGCUACGUUUUCAUGGAUCAUACCAAUUGGGUCAGAUGGACAACCGUGAGACAGAAAACGGGUUGGUUGAGGCUGUUGCAGUUCUUGUCUCAACCAUGCCGCGCAUGAGACCGGAUUUACCAAAGGGUAAAUUAGGGCAGUGCUGCAAAACAAGACCUGAUUUCAUCAAGGCAUGGGAAAAAUGGCGAGGUCAAGUAAGUAAACUGGAGUGCAGUGCAUUUUGGAUUCAGUGCAGUCACCAAAAAACUCGUGAUGGUUUGAAGAAUCUGCUUCACAUCAUGAUGGGAAACAUAAAGGACCUCACUGCUGCUACUUCCCAUUGGCUGGAGCUAUUCGCUUCUCAUUUUCUUUAUAUAAGGCCAUUUACAGUGGGCUUUGAAGGGAUGCAUCACUUAGCACAGAAAUGCAUACAGCUUAAGCCGUCUUUCGACACUAAUGGAUUAACAGGCCUGCUUAACGGCAUCCUUUCAGAAAAUCCAGAGGUUGUCUUGGCGGAAUGCACAAAAAAAUUUGGGCCUUGGAUGGUUACACACUGUAUGGAGCUGUUGGCAGCUGAUAAUGACUAUGCGGAUAUUAUGUUGCAUGAAGAACGACCUAACUUUGGUGGCAUAAGCAUAGAAGAACUGCACCGGCUAGUCUACGCUCAAGUUUUGUGUUCUCAUUCUUCAACUUGGCAGAUCGCACCGACUUAUCUGUCCUCGUGUCUAAACCAAGGUCUAGGGCUGCUGGAGAUUCUACUUCUCAAGCAACCCAUACAAGAUAACCGUCUAGUGCUGAAGACUUUGGAACUUUGUCGUUUGUAUGAACUGGAGAAUGUUGGUACAAACAUCAUGAAGAUUGCAGGCUGUUACCAUUGGAAGCAUGGUAGAAAAGGAACUGGGGUUUACUGGUUUCAGCAAGCUCAUGAUAAAGUACGACUUGAUAGAAUUGCUCAACAAUUGUUUGAACGCAUUGGGAAGUCAGUCGCAGAUGAUAAUUUUAAGCAAUGGGAAGGGUUGCUCGAGUUACUAGGUUCAGACAUUGGUAGUGCAGGUGGUCUUGAGUUCCUUCACAGGUACCGGGAUUUCAAGAGAUCCCUUCAACAGGCACUAGAAGGAAGGACCGGCGAGGCUGCUCGGCAGACCGUGGAGUUUCUUAUACAGCUAAUGAGAAAUCCUUCUACACCACAACGUUUCUGGCUGCCCCUUCUACAUGACUCGGUGAAACUACUCAACUGCAAACCCCGCCCUUUACUGAAUGUUGCCGAGACGACCUUGUUGCUAAAUAAACUACAAGAACUGUCCAUGGCCAAGCUGCGUCCUGACUUCUGCAGUAAUCACCUACCAAGCCAUGCACUGAGCUCUGUCAGAUUGGCUCUGGGAUCAAAUCUUGCCCGUGCCAUUCUUGAAGAAGCUUGA
rnacentral:rRNA from 1 species